rnacentral:rRNA from 1 species
AACACAUGCAAGUCGAGCGAAGCAGUUUAAAUGAGACUUCGGUGGAUUUUAAACUGACUGAGCGGCGGACGGGUGAGUAACGCGUGGAUAACCUGCCUCACACAGGGGGAUAACAGUUAGAAAUGACUGCUAAUACCGCAUAAGCGCACAGUACCGCAUGGUACAGUGUGAAAAACUCCGGUGGUGUGAGAUGGAUCCGCGUCUGAUUAGGUAGUUGGUGGGGUAACGGCCCACCAAGCCGACGAUCAGUAGCCGACCUGAGAGGGUGACCGGCCACAUUGGGACUGAGACACGGCCCAAACUCCUACGGGAGGCAGCAGUGGGGAAUAUUGCACAAUGGGCGAAAGCCUGAUGCAGCGACGCCGCGUGAGUGAAGAAGUAUCUCGGUAUGUAAAGCUCUAUCAGCAGGGAAGAAAAUGACGGUACCUGACUAAGAAGCCCCGGCUAACUACGUGCCAGCAGCCGCGGUAAUACGUAGGGGGCAAGCGUUAUCCGGAUUUACUGGGUGUAAAGGGAGCGCAGACGGCGAUGCAAGUCUGGAGUGAAAGCCCGGGGCUCAACCCCGGGACUGCUUUGGAAACUGUAUGGCUAGAGUGCUGGAGAGGCAAGCGGAAUUCCUAGUGUAGCGGUGAAAUGCGUAGAUAUUAGGAAGAACACCAGUGGCGAAGGCGGCUUGCUGGACAGUAACUGACGUUCAG